GAUGAACGCUGGCGGCGUGCCUAAUACAUGCAAGUCGAGCGAACAGAUGAGGAGCUUGCUCCUCUGACGUUAGCGGCGGACGGGUGAGUAACACGUGGAUAACCUACCUAUAAGACUGGGAUAACUUCGGGAAACCGGAGCUAAUACCGGAUAAUAUAUUGAACAGCAUGGUUCAAUAGUGAAAGACGGUUUUGCUGUCACUUAUAGAUGGAUCCGCGCCGCAUUAGCUAGUUGGUAAGGUAACGGCUUACCAAGGCAACGAUGCGUAGCCGACCUGAGAGGGUGAUCGGCCACACUGGAACUGAGACACGGUCCAGACUCCUACGGGAGGCAGCAGUAGGGAAUCUUCCGCAAAGGGCGAAAGCCUGACGGAGCAACGCCGCGUGAGUGAUGAAGGUCUUCGGAUCGUAAAACUCUGUUAUUAGGGAAGAACAAAUGUGUAAGUAACUAUGCACGUCUUGACGGUACCUAAUCAGAAAGCCACGGCUAACUACGUG
rnacentral:rRNA from 1 species